AUUGAACGCUGGCGGCAGGCCUAACACAUGCAAGUCGAACGAGUGGCGGACGGGUGCGUAAUGUCUGGGAAACUGCCCGAUUGAGGGGGAUAACUCCUGGAAACGGUCGCUAAUACCGCAUACUCUCAGCUGUCCCCAGAUGGGAUUAGCUAGUAGGUGGGGUAACGGCUCACCUAGGCGACGCUCCCUAGCUGGUCUGCGAGGAUGACCAGCUACACUGGAACUGAGACACGGUCCAGACUCCUACGGGAGGAAGCAGUGGGGAAUAUUGCACAAUGGGCGCAAGCCUGAUACAGCCAUGCCGCGUGUAUGAAGAAGGCCUUCGGGUUGUAAAGUACUUUCAGCGGGGAGGCGUUACCCGCAGAAGAAGCACCGGCUAACUCCGUGCCAGCAGCCGCGGUAAUAC
rnacentral:rRNA from 1 species